UUCGUGAAGCUAGAACGUGCAAGCGUGGAUCUCCUAAAUUAGCACGCCUUCUCUGCUGGCGACUCAACGCCGCUUUUCCAUGCCGUUUGAGAGAACCAGGCUUCCUUCCUCUAGAAAGAUCCACCCCGCCCCGCCGAAGUUGACCUCCUCAACCUCUCGCGCAGCCGGAGGAGACUGGAGUAGUAGUACCGGAGGGAAUCAUGGCACGGGAGGAGCGCCCACAGCGGAGAUAUGCAGGCGGGUUGUCGUCCAUGUGUCCUUGCACGGUUGCUCCGACCUUCCCCCUGCUCGAGCCCUCCUGCUCCGAGGCCCCUCCCCAUGGCCUGAUCUUUCCAGUCCGAGGCCCCUCCCCAUUGCUGCCGGCCUUCUCUCCCCCUCCCUCUCUCUCCAAUCUUCAAAGGGGAGUAGCGGCGCUGACGGCCGGAAAGGGCGAGUCCUUCCCAAUCUCCUCCUUCCGAUUUGGUUUAGUUUUUUUAUUUUUGCCUUUCUUGCAUCUUUCCAUUCAUGCGUGCCUCCUUGCAAGUUAUUGGAUUUUGUUCGCCCUCUCUGCUCCAUUGCUCCUCGUUUGGUUCGCGUAUGGUCUUCCUGCAUGUUCUUCUGUCUCCAAGUCCCUGCGCCUGUCUUUGUUUUUCUUCUUUUUUUCUUCCUUUUCCCUUCCUUUUACGCGCAUCUUCUACCAAUUAUUUGAUCGUAUGCUCAUCGUCCUGUGUUUCCUUGCAGCUCCUUCCGGACGGCUCACUCUAUUCCAUUGCAUAAGCAUGAAACAUAACAUCAGAUUCAGUACAUGGAACUACAAGACUGAGAAGCAAAAGUCUUUUUCUGGCCCUUGGCAGGUUUUCAAAUUGUGUGUGGUACGAUCUGGUAUUAAUGAAGUGCUCCUAUUUCCUGUCAGUUGAGUUCUUGAAGCGAAUGGGGAGGUCAGUCUAGAGUUGAAGUACUUCAUGGUUUUUCUGCCAAUUGGAGCGCCCUGGGAUUAUAAGCUAAUGCAUGAUGUGUGCCUUUUGGUUCAGAGUAAUGUGAUUUCUGUGGAGCAUGUCAUACACUGGCAAAAGAAUUAAUCCAUGGCUGCACUUAAUCGGUAACUUGCAGCCGUCUCUUUCUCUAUCGUUGUGUGUGUACGUAUUUGUUGGAUAAUUUGUCCCACUGCAUUGUUUCAUAGGUUCCAUUCCUCACACUGGAGACAUUUAAUAUAUCAAUGAGGUUGUGAAUGGCUUGCGGAAAGAGUAGCUUGCGUUGUUUUUUUAGCGUUUGCCAAAUCAGGAUCUAGACCAUCUCCUUUCAAUACUAACUCUUGAAAAUUGAUAAUAGCAUAGUUGUUCAUUUUAUCGACAGCUUCUCCACUGCCCCAUCUACUACGCAUCCGAAACCCUAGCUCCCUGUCUGCUGCUCCUUCCAAGCCUUACGAUGUGCCAAAAGCGUGAUUCUACCUAUGAAUUACAACCGUUCCCUGUCUCCUGCCCCGCUUGACAUUUUUUAGACUAUCGGUGGCCGCUGCUUCCCCGCAACAGGCUGUUGAUGGGUGAUUGGGAUGAGCGCAUAUGCUGGGUGGUGCUCGAGUGGUAGCGACAACGUGGUGGACUGCAUCUUAUGAAUUCAUUGUUUGUUCCGCUCUUCUAGCAUAAUCUGACUACCAGUACGAUGCCCAGAUUCCGUGUUGUUUCCAGUAUGGUGAUUUAAUUGAUUAGUCUUGAGCUUCAGCAGACUGCAACAGAGCAACUAUGUGUUGUGUGGAAUUCCUUUAUCCAUUGUUUGGCUUCUUCCUACUUUACCAUGAUGCAUUGUUGCCAAGUAGUGUCCUGCUACAACUAGGAGAUUGGUUAUAAUUAUCCUUCUGCUCAAAAUUAUUCCUUAUUUGCUCCUUCGUUUCAUUCCUCUCGGGAGAUGUCUUCCAGAUAUUUGCCUCUCACCUGUCAUGGAUGAGUUUGCUUCUGAAGGCAAUUGGUUUUCUAUGGAAGGCAAUAUUGCAGCUCAUACUUACACUUACGGUUCUUGGGAUGCUUCUGAGGAAGAUUCACUUUUUAUGGAAAGCGAUGUUCCAGCUGCCUAUAAUGUUACUUAGAAAUAUUAAGCAAUCCAUUGGCCAAUAUUAUGAGGCUUGAAGAAUGUGUUUUCAAAGCAGAGAUAACGAUUGGGAGCAACAAAGGCCAGCGCUUAUGCGUACCAAUAAUAUUUCUGAAUGCUUCGUCGUUGAGAUGGCCUUUUACAUUACAACGCCAUCAAUACGCAGUCUGCCUUUGAUAUGUGAUGUCCGUGAACAAGAAACAGGGACAGACUCUCGGAAGAGUAGGUGUGUAAUUGCCGAAGCCGGUAUUUUUCAGUUGUCAGUUCAACUUUGCUAUUUCAAGAGUAACAGCCAGACACGAUUGAAAAUAGUUGCCACAAAUGAAAGCAGCAAAACAAGCACUGAAACUAGGAACAUUAUAUACCCAGAAGUUCCUGACAACCUACAUAAGUAGUGUACAGCGACACUUGCAGGGUAUCUACUUCCGACAAGUCAAAUGUCUUGAUUUCCUUUCUGCUACGCGCUUUCAGUUCGAUGGACCCUGUUAUGUACCCGGCAUCUAUUUUCAGUCCUACUAUGGGUUACAUGUCGAUUGGGAUCACCUUUUUCGAUAAAGGGAAUAUAUUAAUAUCAAAAGAUACCAAUUA